CUGAUGCAGCAACGCCGCGUGAGCGAAGAAGGCUUUAGAGUCGUAAAGCUCUGUCCUAAGGGAAGAAUAAUGACGGUACCUUAGGAGGAAGCCCCGGCUAAUUACGUGCCAGCAGCCGGGGUAAUCCGUAGGGGGCAAGCGUUAUCCAGGAAUCACUGGGCGUAAAGGGUGCGUAGGCUGCCGCUAUAAGCCAGGGGUGAAAGGCUACGGCUUAACCGUAGUAAGCCUUUGGAACUAAAUCGCUUGAGUGCAGGAGAGGAGAGUGGAAUUCCUAGUGUAGCGGUGAAAUGCGUAGAUAUUUGGAGGAACACCAGUGGCGAAGGCGACUCUCUGGACUGUAACUGACGCUGAGGCACUAAACCGUGGGGAGCAAACAGGAUUAGAUACCCUGGUAGUCCACGCCGUAAACGAUGAGUGCUAGCUGUCGGGGGUACACAGCCUCGGUGCCGCAGUUAACGCAAUAAGCACUCCGCCUGG
rnacentral:rRNA from 1 species